GCCCCACUAGACGAAGAGCUGACCGCUCAGAGAAUGGUUACGAAAGGGACAAACAAGCCAACAAACGAAGUCCAGGCUCCCCAUUUGUUGUAACCGCCGGGUCCCCUUCGGUUGCCACGGCACUUGAGGCCAGAAAGUCCUCAGCUCCCAGGUGAAGUCCUCCACCAGCUGCCCAUUCCUGGGGGUGGAUGCCGUGACAGCCACGCCAGAUUGUCAGCUACCCAGAAGGAGAGGAGGUGGCCGUCUGUGUUCUCCAAACUUCUGGGACUCCUCAAGGAGUGAAGUCUGAUCUACGCACGGAACGAACCACCACGGCAAAGGAAGAGCGAUGGCGCCCCCAUGUGGCAACACAAGCACUGCGAUUUCACACAAGACCAAAUCAGAAUUGGCCGGAGGGGAACGUCAGAUUCUUAGGGAGUGUUACUCCAACUAAUGCUACACUCAGGGCGACUUCUUGGAAGGCAAAAGCCCCAUAGUCUAGCCAUACAACUUUCCAGAAAAGUAGCACUCUUCAAAACAGCUGGCAUUAAAAUUCUUGGCUCUGCCAUCCACCCGUUCUGUGAGACUCUCCUCAUCCCCAAAAAUGGAAGGUCUGAUGACUUCAAAAAGAGUUUUACCGUUUUUCCCCUCAUUGAAAAUAAUAGAAAACAGUAAAAUACUGCAUUUCUGCCUUCAA
rnacentral:lncRNA from 1 species